rnacentral:rRNA from 1 species
UACGUAGGGUGCGAGCGUUGUCCGGAAUUAUUGGGCGUAAAGAGCUCGUAGGCGGUCUGUCGCGUCGAUCGUGAAAACUUGGGGCUUAACCCUGAGCUUGCGGUCGAUACGGGCAUGACUGGAGUUCGGCAGGGGAGACUGGAAUUCCUGGUGUAGCGGUGAAAUGCGCAGAUAUCAGGAGGAACACCGGUGGCGAAGGCGGUGGUCUGGGCCGGCACUGACGCUGAGGAGCGAAAGCGUGGGGAGCAAACAGG